CGGGCUGUGGUUUUCUUCUUCAUGAAUGAAACAGAUUGUGCACAGGGAAAUGCAGGGCAAUUUUCCUCAUAUAUGCCAGCUUCAUGCACAGGGCCUUGAAAUAAUUCAAAUUACUUCUGGAUCAAGAGAACCCGAUAAGAUAUUGGAGGUUCGGUUGUACUAUUGCUGGCUAGCUUCAUGCACAGGGCCUUGAAAUUACUUAUGGAUCAAGAGAACUCGGUGCUAAAGCCCUAUACAAAACCUCUAAAAGAGAAAUUCCAUUUCUAGUGACGAGUUCCAAGUGCAAGAGUAGAAAAGAUUCCAAGAUUUGGGGAAGUAAUCAGGAGGAUGCCUAUGAUUUAGUUCACCAAUAACCAAAUGAUUUAGUUACUUCUAUAUUGGAUUUAGUACAGGACAAUCCCUAAACUCU